UUUACAAUGUAGAGUUUGAUCCUGGCUCAGGAUGAACGCUAGCUACAGGCUUAACACAUGCAAGUCGCGGGGCAGCAUGACAUCAGCUUGCUGAUGUUGAUGGCGACCGGCGCACGGGUGAGUAACGCGUAUCCAACCUGCCCUUUACUAUGGGACAGCCCGUCGAAAGGCGGAUUAAUACCGUAUGUUGUCAUGUUGAUGCAUAUUUUCAUGACCAAAGGCUU
rnacentral:rRNA from 1 species